AAGGGGUUUGAUCAUGGCUCAGAACGAACGCUGGCGGAGUGCCUCAUACAUGCAAGUCGUACGCGAAAGUCGCCUUCGGGUGGCGAGUAGAGUGGCGCACGGGUGAGUAACGCGUGGGUAAUCUACCUUCAGGUCUGGGACAACUCCGGGAAACUGGAGCUAAUACCGGAUAAGACCACGGAGACCUCGGUCUCCGCGGCCAAAGAUGGCCUCUUCUUGAAAGCUAUCGCCUGCUGAUGAGCCCGCGUCCCAUUAGCUUGUUGGUGAGGUAACGGCUCACCAAGGCACCGAUGGGUAGCUGGUCUGAGAGGACGAUCAGCCACACUGGAAUUGAGACACGGUCCAGACUCCUACGGGAGGCAGCAGUAGGGAAUCUUGGUCAAUGGGCGAAAGCCUGAACCAGCAACUCCGCGUGAGGGAUGAAGGCCCUCGGGUCGUAAACCUCUGUCGGGAGGGAAGAAAGUUCCGAGACGAAUAAUCUCGGAAUCUGACGGUACCUCCAAAGGAAGCGCCGGCUAACUCCGUGCCAGCAGCCGCGGUAAUACGGAGGGCGCAAGCGUUGUUCGGAAUCAUUGGGCGUAAAGCGGGUGUAGGCGGCUUGGCAAGUCGGGUGUGAAAUCCCUGGGCUCAACCCAGGAACUGCACUCGAAACUGCUUCGCUAGAGUCUCGGAGAGGGUGGCGGAAUUCCCGGUGUAGAGGUGAAUUCGUAGAUAUUCGGGAGGAACACCA
rnacentral:rRNA from 1 species